UGACCUUGUGUCCAAGGCAAGAGGCCCAGCGCUCAGGCCUCCUGGCCUUUAGGGAUUCUGCUGCUCAAGUGGAAAAACAGAGAUUGUAAAGUGCUUUAAAGAUCGUCCUGUACCGAAUGCGGCAAACUGAUAAACAACCUAUGUAGUGACAAAUUUAUAUUACGCAGAAUAACUUCUCCAGGCGAGAUUCUUUGGACAAGUGUACUGCAGUAAAGGAUCUUGUAGGUUUUCUUAUUAGUUGCUCUACACUAGAGCAAUGGUUCCCAAUCCUGGCCACAUGUUAGGAUUACUUAGAGAGCUUUCACAAUGCCUGCUGCUUGCUUGCUACCAGUUGAAUCAGACUCUCUAGCCAGGGGAGCGAGCCAUCUUAAUUUUUCUAGUGUCUCCGGUGGCUCUAAUGUACAGCACUGCUUUAAAAUCCUUAAAACAUGGCCAUUUGAAAUGACCCCAGAUAAAAGAGACUUUCUCCAUGUUCUACAGCAAUGCUUUUUGGAUUAUGGGUCAUGACCGAUUAGUGGAUCAUGAAAUCAGCUUACUGGGUCACAACUAGCAUGAAAAUGCAAUAGAAUAGAGGGGAAAAAGCAUACUGCGUUAAGUGAGAUUUGGGGGUGGGUGGUGUCAAACUUGUUUCAGAUCUGUCUUGGAUCAUGAUCUAAGAAUACCACUAUUCUAGAUUCUAGGAAUAAAAACCUUGUUGCCCUGAGCCCCCAUGGAAUUGUUCUAAUUCAAAUUGGUUGUUGGCUUUUUCAACAGUUUUGCUGAUUCCACAGGAUGUUGUGGCUGUGAGCUGGGAAGGCUGCCAUGCUGUUAUUUUGGAAAGGGUUAUGCAAAUGCUUCCUCCCAGAUGGUUCCCAGAGUUAGUUCAGUAUGAGCAUUUCCUCUGGAAACAUCAGGGAUGUAAAGAGAGAUGUCACGACCAAUACUCCAAGGGAAUGCUGUCUAAUGGUUUAAUCCACGAGUUUCUAUAUUUUGAUUUAUGAAAGAACUGGGAAUCCACAUAGACAUAAAAUUUCCAAAGACAAUCAGGAAAAACAAGAGAGAAACACAGCGAGAGAGGGAACACAAGCAGGGGGAGUGGAAGAGGGAGAAGCAGGCCUCCCGACAAGCAGGUAGCCCGAUGCAGGGCUCGAUCCCAGGACCCUGAGACCAUGACCCGAGCUGAAGGCAGAUGCUUAACGACUGAGCCACCCAGGCACCCCUCUACUGGAUAUUCUUUAUAGGACUUUCAGAACCAAAUUUAGGAUUUUAUCUAUUUGACUCCGAGGGAGAGAUAGCACAAGCAGGGGGAGCAGCAGGCAGAGGGAGAGGGAGAAGCAGGCUCUCCACUGAGCAAGGAGCCCGACAUGGGGCUCGAUCCCAGGACCCUGGGAUCGUGACCUGAGCUGAAGGCAGCCGCUUAACCGACUGAGCCACCCAGGCGCCCCUACAUCAUGACUUUUAUACCUGGCAUAUUUUGUUCAGCAUGUUUCUGAGAUUCAUUCAUUCAUGUUGUUGUUGAAUGUAUUAGUGGUUCAUUUUAUUGCUAAAUAGUAUUCCACUUUAUAGAUAUAACACAACUAGUUUAUCCAAUCACCUGUGAUGGGCAGUAGGUUUCUGUUUGUAGCUAUUAUGAAUAAAGCUUUUAUGAACAUUGUAUACAAGUUUGCAUGAACACCAGCAGUGUAAGAGUGUUCCAGUUUUUUCCCAUCCUCACCAACUCUUGGUAUGGUUACUCUUUCAUCUUAGCCAUUCUAGCAGGUGUAAAGGGGUAUUCCAUUGUGGUUUUAAUAUGUACUUCUCUGAUGACUAAUGGUGUUGACCAUGUUUUCAUGUACUAUUAGCCAUUUGCGUAUCCUCCUUUGUAAAGUUCCUAUUCAAAGCUUUUGUUCAUUUAAAAAUUGGGUUGUUUGUCUUCUUAUUGAUAUCUAAGAAUUCUUUAUAUGCUCCAUAUGUGUCCUUUUUAGGUAUACAUGAAAUAUGAUACAUAUAUGUCCUAUAUGUAUAUAUAAUACUUGUAUGUAUAUACACACAUAUAUGUAUAUAUACACAUAAUAUUAGGUGUGCACACAAAUAAUAUUUUGGAUAUAUAUUAGAUAUUUUCUCCCAGUCUGCAGUCUACCUUUUCCUUUCUUAAAAGGUGUUUUUCUAAGAGCAAAAGCUUUGAAUUUUUUUGAAAUCCAAUUUUUCAACUAUUUCUUCAAUAUUCUUGCUUUUUUAGCCUUCCUAAGGAAUUUGCCUUUGCCACGGUCAUAAAGGAAGAAGUGAGUUUUCUUAUGGUAUUCUUAUGUUGGCUUAUUUCGACCAUUGUGUUAAAAACGUCCCCCAUUCCCUUCCUUUCUCUUCCUUUCCACAGACUCAUCAUGACUUGGCUGGAAAAGAGAGUAAGUGUCAUUAGCUAAUGUUAUAGGGGCAUGGUUAGGCCCAGUUUAAAAAGAACACAGAGAACGUUUGCAACAUAUAUGAAACCUUAGGCCAGAAAAAUACUCUGAAGGGUUUUAACCAGCCUAUUAAAUGAGGCUUCUCAAGUUACUCUCUAUCAUAUCACCUUGGAAAUUUUCAAGGCACAAUUAUCUUUAUGAUCUUGUUUAUUUGUUUACUUGUUUCUUAUCUGACCUUUAUACUACACUGUAAGUUUUUCUGUCUUGUUCACAUGUGAUGAGUGAAUGGAUGAACCAGUAGAGGCCAGGUUGCAAUGUGGCUGAUGGAAUUGACAUCAGUUUGGGGUUUCUGGCUCCCACCCUUUCAGUCCCCAGAAACUUACCCUGUCUGUCACUUUCAUCCACUACAUUUGUAAAUUACUACAUGUUACUAUACCUAUACACAGAAUUGUUAAGCCCAUUUCUUUAGGGAAGCAAUCUCUUUCCUUACUUUAAUGAGAAUUGGGAUUCUCUGAAACUUCUAUGUUCAUCCUUUCAUGGGUAAGAGAUGAUUCAGGAUUGGGUAAUGGGGGAAUUAUUAAGAAGAUUGCUUC